GCAUAUCAAUAAGCGGAGGAAAAGAAACCAACAGGGAUUGCCUCAGUAGCGGCGAGUGAAGCGGCAAGAGCUCAGAUUUGAAAUCUCACCUAGUGUGCGAGUUGUAAAUUGCAGGUUGGAGUCUCGGGUUAGACGUGUGUGCAAGUCCCUUGGAACAGGGUGCCACUGAGGGUGAGAGCCCCGUAGCGUGCAUGUCGACACCUGUGAGGCCCUUCUGACGAGUCGAGUUGUUUGGGAAUGCAGCUCUAAGUGGGUGGUAAAUUCCAUCUAAGGCUAAAUAUUGGCGAGAGACCGAUAGCGAACAAGUACUGUGAAGGAAAGAUGAAAAGCACUUUGAAAAGAGAGUGAAACAGCACGUGAAAUUGUUGAAAGGGAAGGGUAUUGGGCUCGACAUGGGAUUUACGCAUCGUUGCCUCUCGUGGGCGGCGCUCUGGGUUUUUCCUGGGCCAGCAUCGGUUUUCGUUGCAGGAUAAGGACAAUUGGAAUGUGGCUCCUCGGAGUGUUAUAGCCUUUUGUAGAUGCUGCGUAUGGGGACCGAGGGCUGCGGCGGACUCGUUUCGUCUCGGA
rnacentral:rRNA from 1 species